rnacentral:lncRNA from 1 species
CACGACUCAGGCUGGGAAGCUGCGGCUGGGGUGAUGGAGGAGACACCCCCCGUUUGGACGAAGGGAAGCCACCGCGCCCCGGGCAUCCAGGAGGGGUCCGGCGCUACGCGCGCGCGGGAUUGGCCCAGCUCGACCUGGGCCCCCUGCCGGGGGAAAGUGCCGACCGGGCUGGGAGGAGGGAGCGACCUACGCCGGGCCGGGCGAGGGCGGACUGGAAGCAGCGGGGCUCGCGCGGGAGCGCCUCUAGGUUCUAGACCGUCCGCCGAGCCCCACCUCCUUGGUUUUUGCCAUUUUCUUCAUACCAUAAAAAUAAAAAGUACCUCCCAUCAAUGCAUUUAUCAAGCAAGUAUAGUCUCAUUUCUCACAAAGAACAAUUCCGAAGUGAAUAACAUCUCUAUGACGGAUGUUGGAACUCUAUGCAACUGAGAAUAUUAGCCCACUUGCAGAUAUUCCUGUCACACCUGUAACCACUGUUGAGGUGCUACGCUGGCUCUCUCCUUGAGAGGCUGACUGGGCCACAGCAUCAUCACAAAGGCUAACAAAGACUGGGGAUCAAGGCGGUGGCCCAUUAUCACAUUCCUCUCUGUAAACUCUGUUGCUGAAUUACAUGCCUUAUGAUCCUUUGAUGCCAGGCAAGUCUGACACUUCCCACCUUCUCUUGGAAGAGAUUUUGUAUCUGUGAAUUAUAAAGUAAAUACAGGACUCUUAAACAAUACGUGACUACUGAUGCAUUCACUUUUUCAGGU